rnacentral:misc_RNA from 1 species
UCGAGACCGAAAAUAUAUAUCGAGCGAUUCGGAGAACCCGUAAAAUAAGCGGGGGCUUCUGCCACCGUGAAAAUCUAUCCCAGUCGCUGCCUCAUCUCCUACGGGGCUGGGGCGCGAUGGAGGACGGAUGAAAACUUCAACCCGGCGCAGCUCCGCGCCAAGUGCUUAUCGAAACACGCGAGCCCUGCAUCGGGCUCAGUGUCAUGGUGUGCAUUGCACCCUAUAUGCAUCGACACGACUCUCGGCAAUGGAUAUCUCGGCUCUUGCAUCGAUGAAGAGCGCAGCGAAAUGCGAUACGUGGUGCGAAUUGCAGAAUCCCGCGAACCAUCGAGUCUUUGAACGCAAGUUGCGCCCGAGGCCAACCGGCCAAGGGCACGUCUGCCUGGGCGUCAAGCGUUGCGUCGCUUCGUGCCUGCUCCAUCCCUUCAAUGGGUGUGUUGGCCAGGGCUCGAAUGUGCAGAGUGGCUCCUCGUACACUUCGGUGCGGCGGGCUGAAGAGCGGGGUAAUCAUCUCGUUGGCCACGAGCAACAAGGGGUGGAUGAAAAAUUGCCUGUGUUGCGUCGCACUGGACUGAGAAGAGGUGAUAUACUUCCCAUAUGAUCCCAACCCAUGCGCCGGUCCGGAGGUGGCGGAAUGGAUU